CCGACCUUAGCUCAGUUGGAAGAGCACAAGACUGUAAUCGGAUAUCUGGGGGUGUUAGGAAUCUUGGGGUCGCCUGUUCGAACCAGGCAGGUCGGA
rnacentral:tRNA from 1 species